AUUGAACGCUGGCGGCAUGCUUUACACAUGCAAGUCGAACGGCAGCGCGGGGCAACCUGGCGGCGAGUGGCGAACGGGUGAGUAAUAUAUCGGAACGUACCCAAGAGUGGGGGAUAACGUAGCGAAAGUUACGCUAAUACCGCAUACGAUCUGAGGAUGAAAGUGGGGGAUCGCAAGACCUCAUGCUCCUGGAGCGGCCGAUAUCUGAUUAGCUAGUUGGUGAGGUAAAGGCUCACCAAGGCGACGAUCAGUAGCUGGUCUGAGAGGACGACCAGCCACACUGGAACUGAGACACGGUCCAGACUCCUACGGGAGGCAGCAGUGGGGAAUUUUGGACAAUGGGCGCAAGCCUGAUCCAGCAAUGCCGCGUGAGUGAAGAAGGCCUUCGGGUUGUAAAGCUCUUUUGUCAGGGAAGAAACGGUAGAGGCUAAUAUCCUUUGCUAAUGACGGUACCUGAAGAAUAAGCACCGGCUAACUACGUGCCAGCAGCCGCGGUAAUACGUAGGGUGCAAGCGUUAAUCGGAAUUACUGGGCGUAAAGCGUGCGCAGGCGGUUUUGUAAGUCUGUCGUGAAAGCCCCGGGCUCAACCUGGGAAUUGCGAUGGAGACUGCAAGGCUUGAAUCUGGCAGAGGGGGGUAGAAUUCCACGUGUAGCAGUGAAAUGCGUAGAGAUGUGGAGGAACACCGAUGGCGAAGGCAGCCCCCUGGGUCAAGAUUGACGCUCAUGCACGAAAGCGUGGGGAGCAAACAGGAUUAGAUACCCUGGUAGUCCACGCCCUAAACGAUGUCUACUAGUUGUCGGGUUUUAAUUAACUUGGUAACGCAGCUAACGCGUGAAGUAGACCGCCUGGGGAGUACGGUCGCAAGAUUAAAACUCAAAGGAAUUGACGGGGACCCGCACAAGCGGUGGAUGAUGUGGAUUAAUUCGAUGCAACGCGAAAAACCUUACCUACCCUUGACAUGUCAGGAAGUCCGGAGAGAUCUGGAUGUGCCCGAAAGGGAGCCUGAACACAGGUGCUGCAUGGCUGUCGUCAGCUCGUGUCGUGAGAUGUUGGGUUAAGUCCCGCAACGAGCGCAACCCUUGUCAUUAGUUGCUACGCAAGAGCACUCUAAUGAGACUGCCGGUGACAAACCGGAGGAAGGUGGGGAUGACGUCAAGUCCUCAUGGCCCUUAUGGGUAGGGCUUCACACGUCAUACAAUGGUACAUACAGAGGGCCGCCAACCCGCGAGGGGGAGCUAAUCCCAGAAAGUGUAUCGUAGUCCGGAUCGCAGUCUGCAACUCGACUGCGUGAAGUUGGAAUCGCUAGUAAUCGCGGAUCAGCAUGUCGCGGUGAAUACGUUCCCGGGUCU
rnacentral:rRNA from 1 species